rfam:Triticum aestivum genome assembly, contig: Triticum_aestivum_CS42_TGACv1_scaffold_405879_5BL
UUGGCACUCCCUCCGUCCGAAAAUACUUAUCAUGAAAAUGACUAAAAGUGGAUGUAUCUAAUACUAAAAUAUGUCUAGAUACGUCCAUUCCUCCGACAAGUAUUUUCGAACGGAGGGAGUACAUC